UACGAACUGUGCAAACGUUAUUCGGAAUCACUGGGCUUACAGGGUGCGUAGGCGGCUUGCUAAGUAGGGUGUGAAAUCCCCCGGCUUAACCGGGGAAUGGCGCCCUAAACUGGCGAGCUGGAGUGAGAUAGGGGUGUGCGGAACUUCCGGUGGAGCGGUGAAAUGUGUUGAUAUCGGAAGGAACGCCGGUGGCGAAAGCGGCACACUGGAUCUCAACUGACGCUGAGGCACGAAAGCCAGGGGAGCGAACGGG
rnacentral:rRNA from 1 species